GAUAAAAGUUUAAACAUCGAAGGUUUGUUGAGAAAGCGAUGCAUUUAUAUAAAAUAUCUUCCAUAUAUAAAGUGAAUGUCUACUGUCAUCAGAAUUAAGUUCAUUGGACAUCUACAGUUUCACCAAUCACGGUAUUAAACAAUACUGUAUAAUCAUACAUAAUGGCUUACAGAAUGUAACCAUUUCAUUGGGACAGAAGAUUACUGCAUGAAAAAAUGGAGAUAUAUUAGAAUAAUUAGAUACAA